rnacentral:rRNA from 1 species
GGGUCAUUAGGUUGGUCGUGCCACCGGUACGUACUGGUCUCACUGAUUCCUCCUUCCUGAAGAACCGUAAUGCCAUUAAUUUGGUGUUGCGGGGAAACAGGACUGUUACUUUGAAAAAAUUAGAGUGUUUAAAGCAAGCUAACGCUUGAAUACAUUAGCAUGGAACAAUGAAAUAGGACGAUCGAUCCUAUUUUGUUGGUUUCUAGGAUUGACGUA